ACAAACUUGGUCAUUUAGAGGAAGUAAAAGUCGUAACAAGGUUUCCGUAGGUGAACCUGCGGAAGGAUCAUUAACGAGUUAGGGUCUCACUGGCCCGACCUCCCAACCCUUUGUUUAUUGAACCUAUUGUUGCUUCGGCGGGCCCGCUUCCCCCUGGGAGGCCGCCGGAGGACCCGUCGAGAGACGGCCUCUGGCCCGCGCCCGUCGAUGGCCAACCUCCAAACUCGAAUCAACCGUGUCAUGUGUCUAAGUACCUAUUUGAAUUAAAACGCAAAACUUUCAACAACGGAUCUCUUGGUUCUGGCAUCGAUGAAGAACGCAGC
rnacentral:misc_RNA from 1 species